UUAAGCGACUAAGCGUACACGGUGGAUGCCCUGGCAGUCAGAGGCGAUGAAGGACGUGCUAAUCUGCGAUAAGCGUCGGUGAGGUGAUAUGAACCGUUAUAACCGGCGAUUUCCGAAUGGGGAAACCCAGUGUGUUUCGACACACUAUCAUUAACUGAAUCCAUAGGUUAAUGAGGCGAACCGGGGGAACUGAAACAUCUAAGUACCCCGAGGAAAAGAAAUCAACCGAGAUUCCCCCAGUAGCGGCGAGCGAACGGGGAGGAGCCCAGAGCCUGAAUCAGUGUGUGUGUUAGUGGAAGCGUCUGGAAAGGCGCGCGAUACAGGGUGACAGCCCCGUACACAAAAAUGCACAUACUGUGAGCUCGAUGAGUAGGGCGGGACACGUGGUAUCCUGUCUGAAUAUGGGGGGACCAUCCUCCAAGGCUAAAUACUCCUGACUGACCGAUAGUGAACCAGUACCGUGAGGGAAAGGCGAAAAGAACCCCGGCGAGGGGAGUGAAAAAGAACCUGAAACCGUGUACGUACAAGCAGUGGGAGCCUCUUAAUGGGGUGACUGCGUACCUUUUGUAUAAUGGGUCAGCGACUUAUAUUCUGUAGCAAGGUUAACCGAAUAGGGGAGCCGAAGGGAAACCGAGUCUUAACUGGGCGUUAAGUUGCAGGGUAUAGACCCGAAACCCGGUGAUCUAGCCAUGGGCAGGUUGAAGGUUGGGUAACACUAACUGGAGGACCGAACCGACUAAUGUUGAAAAAUUAGCGGAUGACUUGUGGCUGGGGGUGAAAGGCCAAUCAAACCGGGAGAUAGCUGGUUCUCCCCGAAAGCUAUUUAGGUAGCGCCUCGUGAAUUCAUCUCCGGGGGUAGAGCACUGUUUCGGCAAGGGGGUCAUCCCGACUUACCAACCCGAUGCAAACUGCGAAUACCGGAGAAUGUUAUCACGGGAGACACACGGCGGGUGCUAACGUCCGUCGUGAAGAGGGAAACAACCCAGACCGCCAGCUAAGGUCCCAAAGUCAUGGUUAAGUGGGAAACGAUGUGGGAAGGCCCAGACAGCCAGGAUGUUGGCUUAGAAGCAGCCAUCAUUUAAAGAAAGCGUAAUAGCUCACUGGUCGAGUCGGCCUGCGCGGAAGAUGUAACGGGGCUAAACCAUGCACCGAAGCUGCGGCAGCGACGCUUAUGCGUUGUUGGGUAGGGGAGCGUUCUGUAAGCCUGUGAAGGUGUGCUGUGAGGCAUGCUGGAGGUAUCAGAAGUGCGAAUGCUGACAUAAGUAACGAUAAAGCGGGUGAAAAGCCCGCUCGCCGGAAGACCAAGGGUUCCUGUCCAACGUUAAUCGGGGCAGGGUGAGUCGACCCCUAAGGCGAGGCCGAAAGGCGUAGUCGAUGGGAAACAGGUUAAUAUUCCUGUACUUGGUGUUACUGCGAAGGGGGGACGGAGAAGGCUAUGUUGGCCGGGCGACGGUUGUCCCGGUUUAAGCGUGUAGGCUGGUUUUCCAGGCAAAUCCGGAAAACCAAGGCUGAGGCGUGAUGACGAGGCACUACGGUGCUGAAGCAACAAAUGCCCUGCUUCCAGGAAAAGCCUCUAAGCAUCAGGUAACAUCAAAUCGUACCCCAAACCGACACAGGUGGUCAGGUAGAGAAUACCAAGGCGCUUGAGAGAACUCGGGUGAAGGAACUAGGCAAAAUGGUGCCGUAACUUCGGGAGAAGGCACGCUGAUAUGUAGGUGAAGCGACUAGCUCGUGGAGCUGAAAUCAGUCGAAGAUACCAGCUGGCUGCAACUGUUUAUUAAAAACACAGCACUGUGCAAACACGAAAGUGGACGUAUACGGUGUGACGCCUGCCCGGUGCCGGAAGGUUAAUUGAUGGGGUUAGCGGUAACGCGAAGCUCUUGAUCGAAGCCCCGGUAAACGGCGGCCGUAACUAUAACGGUCCUAAGGUAGCGAAAUUCCUUGUCGGGUAAGUUCCGACCUGCACGAAUGG
rnacentral:rRNA from 1 species